rnacentral:rRNA from 1 species
AGUGAACGCUGGCGGUAGGCCUAACACAUGCAAGUCGAACGGCAGCACAAUAAGAGCUUGCUAUUACGGGUGGCGAGUGGCGGACGGGUGAGGAAUACAUCGGAAUCUACUUUUUCGUGGGGGAUAACGUAGGGUAACAUACGCUAAUACCGCAUACGACCUACGGGUGAAAGCAGGGGAUCUUCGGACCUUGCGCGAUUGAAUGAGCCGAUGUCGGAUUAGCUAGUUGGCGGGGUAAAGGCCCACAACGGGGACGAUCCUUAGAUGGUCUGAGAGGAGGAUCGGCCACACUGGAACGGAGCACCGGCCCAGACCCCUAGGGGGGGCAGCAGGGGGAAAUUUGGGAAAAGGGGCGAAACCCUAUCCAGGCAAUCCCGGGUGAGUGAAGAAGGCUUUCGGUUUGUAAAGCCCUUUUGUUGGGAAAAAAAAGCAGCAGGUUAAACCCCCGCGGUACGGAGGGUACCCAAAGAAUAAGCACGGCCUAAUUUCGU